rnacentral:rRNA from 1 species
CCUAACACAUGCAAGUCGAACGGUAACAGGAAGAAGCUUGCUUCUUUGCUGACGAGUGGCGGACGGGUGAGUAAUGUCUGGGAAACUGCCUGAUGGAGGGGGAUAACUACUGGAAACGGUAGCUAAUACCGCAUAACGUCGCAAGACCAAAGAGGGGGACCUUCGGGCCUCUUGCCAUCGGAUGUGCCCAGAUGGGAUUAGCUAGUAGGUGGGGUAACGGCUCACCUAGGCGACGAUCCCUAGCUGGUCUGAGGGGAUGACCAGCCACACUGGAACUGAGACACGGUCCAGACUCCUACGGGAGGCAGCAGUGGGGAAUAUUGCACAAUGGGCGCAAGCCUGAUGCAGCCAUGCCGCGUGUAUGAAGAGGGCCUUCGGGUUGUAAAGUACUUUCAGCGGGGAGGAAGGGAGUAAAGUUAAUACCUUUGCUCAUUGACGUUACCCGCAGAAGAAGCACCGGCUAACUCCGUGCCAGCAGCCGCGGUAAUACGGAGGGUGCAAGCGUUAAUCGGAAUUACUGGGCGUAAAGCGCACGCAGGCGGUCUGUUAAGUCAGAUGUGAAAUCCCCGGGCUCAACCUGGGAACUGCAUCUGAUACUGGCAAGCUUGAGUCUCGUAGAGGGGGGUAGAAUUCCAGGUGUAGCGGUGAAAUGCGUAGAGAUCUGGAGGAAUACCGGUGGCGAAGGCGGCCCCCUGGACGAAGACUGACGCUCAGGUGCGAAAGCGUGGGGAGCAAACAGGAUUAGAUACCC